rnacentral:rRNA from 1 species
CGCCUCUUGCAAAUCAAAGCAUAAGAGGUCCCGCCUGCCCUGUGACUAUGGGUUUAACGGCCGCGGUAUUUUGACCGUGCGAAGGUAGCGCAAUCACUUGUCUUUUAAAUGAAGACCUGUAUGAAUGGCAUCACGAGGGCUUAGCUGUCUCCUCUUCCAAGUCAGUGAAAUUGAUCUGCCCGUGCAGAAGCGGGCAUAAGUACAUAAGACGAGAAGACCCUAUGGAGCUUUAGACACCAGGCAGAUCACGUCAAGCAACCUUGAGUUAACAAGUAAAAACGCAGUGACCCCUAGCCCAUAUGUCUUUGGUUGGGGCGACCGCGGGGGAAAAUAAAGCCCCCAUGUGGACUGGGGGCACUGCCCCCACAGCAGAGAGCUACAGCUCUAAGCACCAGAAUUUCUGACCAAAAAUGAUCCGGCGAACGCCGAUCAACGGACCGAGUUACCCUAGGGAUAACAGCGCAAUCCUCUCCCAGAGUCCCUAUCGACGAGGGGGUUUACGACCUCGAUGUUGGAUCAGGACAUCCUAAUGGUGCAGCCGCUAUUAAGGGUUCGUUUGUUCAACGAUUAAAGUCCU